rnacentral:rRNA from 1 species
UUCCCCUAGUAACUGCGAGUGAAGCGGGAAAAGCUCAAAUUUAAAAUCUGGCAGUCUUUGGCUGUCCGAGUUGUAAUCUAGAGAAGUGUUAUCCGCGCUGGACCGUGUACAAGUCUCCUGGAAUGGAGCGUCAUAGAGGGUGAGAAUCCCGUCUUUGACACGGACUACCAGGGCUUUGUGAUGCGCUCUCAAAGAGUCGAGUUGUUUGGGAAUGCAGCUCAAAAUGGGUGGUAAAUUCCAUCUAAAGCUAAAUAUUGGCGAGAGACCGAUAGCGAACAAGUACCGUGAGGGAAAGAUGAAAAGAACUUUGGAAAGAGAGUUAAACAGUACGUGAAAUUGCUGAAAGGGAAACGCUUGAAGUCAGUCGCGUUGUCCAGGGAUCAACCUUGCUUUUGCUUGGUGCACUUUCUGGUUGACGGGUCAGCAUCAAUUUUGACUAUUGGAAAAAGGUCAAGGGAAUGUGGCAUCUUCGGAUGUGUUAUAGCCCUUGGUUGCAUACAAUGGUUGGGAUUGAGGAACUCAGCACGCCGCAAGGCCGGGUUUUUAACCACGUACGUGCUUAGGAUGCUGGCAUAAUGGCUUUAAUCGACCCGUCUUGAAACACGGACCAAGGAGUCUAACAUGCCUGCGAGUGUUUGGGUGGAAAACCCGAGCGCGCAAUGAAAGUGAAAGUUGAGAUCCCUGUCGUGGGGAGCAUCGACGCCCAGACCAGACCUUUUGUGACGGAUCUGCGGUAGAGCAUGUAUGUUGGGACCCGAAAGAUGGUGAACUAUGCCUGAAUAGGGUGAAGCCAGAGGAAACUCUGGUGGAGGCUCGUAGCGAUUCUGACGUGCAAAUCGAUCGUCAAAUUUGGGUAUAGGGGCGAAAGACUAAUCGA